ACAUAUAGCAGGUAAUAUAUUGCGCAGGUUGUCAAAAUCUGAUCUGUCACUUUGGCAGCUCAAAUUAAAAAUGGCGGAAAUGAGAGACAUGAAUCUGUUGUGCUGUGAAAUAAAUCAACUAAAAUGUAUGGGAAAAGAAUUUGUUUUGUUUUAUUUUUAUAAAAUUCAAGCAACCCGAAAACAAAAUCACAAAAUAAAAGAAACAAUUUAAACAAAAGCAAUAGAUUCGAGUUAAAGGAUAUGCCUAUAGGCAGCUUGUGAAUAAGCCAGGAAGACAAGAAUUUCAACACAGAUGGACUACCAAAUUUCACGAAAUUCUUAUUUUGAAGAUUAGCAAUAAUCAAUCUAUACAUUAAAAUAAUCGGACAUGCUUUGGAGAACCCAAAACUUCCAGAAUUACUGCACAAAGAGGGCCUAGUGUUUCUUGGGCCACCUGAGAGAGCUGUGUGGGCUCUUGGUGACGAAGUUGUAUCGUCAAUUGUUGCACAGACUGCGGCAUUCCAACUCUUCCGUGGUCGGGUUCUGAGCUAAAAGCCCAAUACCCUGGAAACAAAAUUAAAAUUUCUACUGAUCUGUUCAAUCGUGGCUGUGUGAAUAAUUUUGAACAGGGAAUAGCUGGUGUUGCGAAAAUUGACUUUCCUGUCAUGAUUAAAGCAUCUGAAAGUGGUUGAGGCAAAGGUAUUCGGUGGGCAGACACCGCUGAAGAAUUUCCCGCCUUGUUCCGUCAAGUUCAGGCUGAAGUUCCUGGUUUGCUAAUUUUUGUUAUGAAGUUGGCGCGUGUUGCUAGACAUAUCCAGGUUCAAUUAUAAGCUGAUCAAUAUGACAAUGCCAUUAGUUUGUUCGGUCGUGAUUGUUCUAUACAGCGACGCCACCAAAAGAUUAUAGAAGAAGCACCCACAAUCGUUUAGCAAAAAUGGUGGGCUAUGUGAAUGCAAGAACUGUGGAAUACCUGUAUGAUACUUCGGAUCGGUAUGGGUGUUCCGUUCUAUCGCCUGAAAGACAUUCGCCUGCUGUAUGAAGAAUCUCCUUGGGGAACAUCGAUUAUUGACUUUGACAAUCCUGCGAAUAAACCUGUUCCUUUGGGACACGUUAUUUCAGCUCGUAUUACUUCAGGGCUAUUUCAGUGUUGCUGCAUUAGGUGGCUUGCAUGAAUUCAACAAGGGACAAGCAUAUGAUGAGAUCGAAGUGAUGAAAAUGGCAAAUACACUGACUGACAUCAGCUGAAGCGGGUACUGCAACGUUCAUCCGCCGUCCAGGAGCUGUGCUUGAUGCCACUAGACCAUUUGGAGCUCGACAAGUGUGUUGGACCAAGAUAAACAAAUUCGACGCAUCGAUUUUUUACUAUGUGCAUAUAUCUUUUUGUGAUAAAUUUGUAUUUGGAUGACAGUGACGAAAAUUACUUAUUGCCACGUUAUACUUACAAACACCUAUAAGCCACAAUUCUCAAUAAAAAAACAA